rnacentral:rRNA from 1 species
AGAGUUUGAUCCUGGCUCAGGACGAACGCUGGCGGCGUGCCUAACACAUGCAAGUCGAACGGAGUUACUUAGGACGGAGGAUUCGUCCAAAGAUCUUUGUAACUUAGUGGCGAACGGGUGAGUAACGCGUGAGCAAUCUGCCUCGGAGUGGGGGACAACAGUUGGAAACGACUGCUAAUACCGCAUAAUGUGCCGGUGGGGCAUCCCGCUGGUACCAAAGCUUUAUGUGCUCUGAGAUGAGCUCGCGUCUGAUUAGAUAGUUGGUGGGGUAACGGCCUACCAAGUCGACGAUCAGUAGCCGGACUGAGAGGUUGAACGGCCACAUUGGGACUGAGAUACGGCCCAGACUCCUACGGGAGGCAGCAGUGGGGAAUAUUGGGCAAUGGGCGCAAGCCUGACCCAGCAACGCCGCGUGAAGGAAGAAGGCUUUCGGGUUGUAAACUUCUUUUGUCAGGGAAGAGUAGAAGACGGUACCUGACGAAUAAGCCACGGCUAACUACGUGCCAGCAGCCGCGGUAAUACGUAGGUGGCAAGCGUUGUCCGGAAUUAUUGGGCGUAAAGCGCGCGCAGGCGGCUUCCCAAGUCCCUCUUAAAAGUGCGGGGCUUAACCCCGUGAUGGGAAGGAAACUGGGAAGCUGGAGUAUCGGAGAGGAAAGUGGAAUUCCUAGUGUAGCGGUGAAAUGCGUAGAGAUUAGGAAGAACACCGGUGGCGAAGGCGACUUUCUGGACGAAAACUGACGCUGAGGCGCGAAAGCGUGGGGAGCAAACAGGAUUAGAUACCCUGGUAGUCCACGCCGUAAACG